rnacentral:rRNA from 12 species
UUUAUAGAGGUAGAGCUACUGAUUGGAUGCGGGGGCUUCACCGCCUACCAAUUCCUGACAAACUCCGAAUGCUAUAAAAUGAUGGUCAGCAGUGAGGGCAUGGGUGCUAAGGUCCAUGUCCGAGAGGGAAAGAACCCAGAUCACCAGCUAAGGUCCCCAAGUAUAUACUAAGUUGAUAAAACGCGGUGAGAUUGCAUUGACAGCCAGGAUGUUGGCU